AGGCAUUCAAAUUCUAACAAUUAAAUUGUUAUUGGUGAUUUCAAUAGUUUUUGGUUUUUUGGGGACACCUGUAUAAUUGUAGUAUGUGUAUUGUGUUUCUCUUUCACCAUUCUCUUUCACCAUGCAAUAUAAUGGACCAGUCAUUAAUAAUGGGUGGGAGAGGUGGGUGAGAAAAGGGAGAUGGCCUUAUGUACUAGGGGAAGAUUUACUUAAAGUAUUUUCAUAAGAGAAUAAAAAAAAAACAUUGACCAUGUACCUGGUAUAAAUCAACAGACUGAUGUAAUAUAAAUGACUUCAAUAAUAACACUGUCCCAAAUGAAUUUUUCUGUGUUGGUGUAUGUAGUGUACUCAGG